rnacentral:lncRNA from 1 species
UUACCCUCGUUCCUUUGAUCUUGGACAUCUCACUUGGAAUGCAUUCUUUGCGAUCUUGUACCCACGGAGUGGUAGACUGAAGACCAACAACAUCUCGACAAAGAUAAGUACAAGCAAGUAGAUCAUUCGACGUCAGAGGUACUAUUUUUUAGUAACUCGACUGAAAGGAGAGGGAAUGACUCGUAGCUAGGGUCCCAUCUCUCUUCGAUUAUUCAAUUUGAUCCGUCUUCGUCUUCUCUUAUGAAAUUGAUAGUUUGUGAGAUCGAUUAUUCAUAAAUGCUGCCCUUCUCUUAUAUACGAGAGCACCAGAUACACCAUGGAUGGAUACAUACGAUUUCACUUAUCCCAAAAGUAAAGAUCUUAUUCGUAUUCUGAUCGAGGAAAGAAGGCGAGCUAGUUCAACUCAAUGACAACCUCUAGGGCCAAGCCUAUGGAAAGCUUUUCCAAUCU